rnacentral:lncRNA from 1 species
UGAGCAUCCCUCACCGCCGAUAUUGAGCUCUUGAGUAGAGGUGAGUCUAUUUAAUCCCCAUGCAACAAGUGAUGUAUACAUUUUGGGUCCAUUUGAGAUUUCAAGUGAUGUGAGAUUCAUAGGGAAACCCUCUUCUGGGAAGGACAUAUCAGCUGAACACUUCCACACCUUGAAUCCUUGUCCUAUUUCUUCUUUUUCUGUUCGAAUUUCGUUCGUGUGUUCGAGAUUUUCCUCACCGGAAAUUUGUACUAACAGUAGAGAACUUUGAACCACCGUAAUUCUGAAUGACAAGUUGCUCAAGCUUUUUUGGAGGACAAAGAGAGCCCAACACCCAUUCUUCAUCUUCUUUAUUCCUUUGAAUCCUUCUCAAGCUUUUUACUCCAAUGCAAUACCGAUCGAUCAAUCCCAUUCUUCUCAUUUAACUUGGCUUCCCCUGCAUCUUGACCAUUAACAUACUCCAAUCCAGAAAGACGGAAAUCACCUCCGAGGUUUGACAAAUAUAUCAAUUCUUUAAUACGAUGUCCAUCACCUUCCCCUAUAACAUAAUCAGAUAACCUCUGAAGGUUGGUUAGCUUACCAAUUCCGAAAGGCAUCCUUUCUAUUAAGUUUGCACCUUUGAUAUCAAGAUAUUGCAAGCUAACAAGCUUUUCCAUCUUCGAGGGCAACUUUUGAAGCUUGGAACACUGUUUUAAUGAUAAAGUUUCCAAAUGAUGAAGUGUGCACAGAGAAUCAGGUAAACAUUAGAUUUUGGAGUAAGAAAAAUUCAAGUAACGAAGAUGCUUUAAAUUUUCAAAAACGUCAGGCAACUCAACAAUAUUGUAUCCACUCAAAGAGAGCACCCUUAGGUAGCAAAGUCUUGGCAACAAAUCAACCAAGACAACAUUAGUUAAAUAGAUCUCUAGAUAAUAACUUGUAAAAAACAAGGGUAGAAAAGUAGGUAACGAAUUUGCUUGAUCAAAUGCUUCAAACUUCUUCACUGUGUCAAACAUGCUGAUAAUAUAAGAAGAAUGCCGAAAGCGAUUUGAGCAUACUUGUCGUGCAACUAGUUGAGCUAAAUCAUUGAUAAGGUAAUGCAUUACGAAUCGGGACUUAUCUUUACUGGAUAUCUGAAAAAAUGACCUGGACACUAGAUCUUGAAAAUAUUGAUUUCCGAGAUCUUUAAUUUGAGGCAUAGCUUUUUGUUGCAGGAGACCUUCUGCUCUCCAUAACAAGAUAAUUUCUUCUUCCUCAAAUUCAUAAUCUUUAGGAAGUAUGGAGCAAUAUGCAAAACAUCGUUUCAAGUAUGACGGAAGAUGAUGGUAGCUUAAUCGCAAUGCUGGAAUUAUGCCACACUGCUCUUCUGGUAAGUUCCA